ACAAACGCUCUGACACUCUCUUCUUAACACACGCGCAUGUAUUGGACCACGUAUCUGCUCUAUUUUUGGCUACCGGGAAUUCAAGUUUUUUUUUUUUUACUCUUUUGCUUGUUAUUUUUUAUUUCUCUCACCAAAACAAAACUGAGAUCUGAAAUGUCUUCACCACCAUCAUCUCUCCCUAUCAAAAAUCAUAUCACCAUAUCGUUGCUGUGAAUUUAAAAUUUCAUCCAAAGUAGUUAUGAAGGGUGAAUUAAAUUAUGGGUUACAAAGUGAAUUUUCAAUGUCACCCAAAUUAGUCAUGAGUGGUGAAUUAGAUUAUUCUUCCUCUGUGGAAAGCAACAUGAAGAGUUUGAUUGAAAUUUUAAAAGGGGUUCGCAUGAAUAAGGGAAGUGGACGGUGAGUUGUGGUGGUGUUGCUAUAGCUGGAUGAAGGUUUUCAUUGUCAGUGCUUAUUGAUAUUUGCUUUGGGAUUCCCUUUUGAAACUAUUUAUGCAUUAAUUUAUUCGAGGUUAUUGUCUUAAUCUUUU